CACGGAGCCCUGGGGACAAGGAAUCACUCACAGAAAUCUUCAGGACAGCUUUGAAAACCGACUUAGUCAUCCACACAUGCUUCAGAAAUUAUUCAGAUAAGUUAGGAACCCAGAACAUUUGGGCUGAUUUUGUUAUUUGUUGUAUUUCUCUCUUGAUGUUCAUUUUAUCCUCCAAGUUCCUUUCCUCUUAUGCUAAUAAUUAUCUGCCUUAAAUGGAUAAAAGUGAAGACCCAUUUCCUUCUGAUUAGUCUGCCAGUCACCAGUGGGUCUUCUUGCCUGAUCUAUGCAUUCCUUCUUCCCUCCAGCCUCAGGGCCAACUGGUGAUCUCACACCUGGACUCCAGCAGUAACUUCCAGCCCGCCUCCAGACACACCUCAGCCUGGUCUGCUCUGCUGUCAACUAGUUCUCUCUUCUCAAUCACUUCCUUUCCAUUCUCACUCUUGACUGCCUGCCACAGGUAAAUCAAGCUGGCAGCAGUAAUACAAACCCUACUACAACCAGACUGCCCAAUGUGUUCCCUUUCCCCUGGCCACAGACAGAGCACGGCUCAGGCCGACCAUAGCCUCCCACUCGGCUCUCUAGAACUUAACCUUGCAAGUUUAAGCCAGCUGCUCAACCUCUGUGGCCUCAGGGUCAUCAAGACUGGAUGUUCCCUAAGGCCUCUUUCAAAUGUGCAUAAGCAGAGACAUGAUGGGGGGGAGCCUAUGCUGUUGGAGCCGAAAGGGGUCUUAAGUGCCACCAUGACACCUCUGUUUAUGCAAACUCCACAUGCAGAUGCCCUGUGCCAACUCCUCUGCCUCCAUUUCCUCAUCUGUAAAAUGGGUAUCACGAGAGCACUCACCUUGAAAAAUGAUGAGACUUAAACAAAAUAUCCAUAUUAAGUAUUUAGAACAUGGCCUGGCUCACAGUGAGAUCUCAGUAAAUGGUAGCUUUGUCAUUGGUGUUCGUUAGGAUUAUCUGAUUCUUACUUUCUUCGGACAUCAGCCCACAUCCACCACCUCCAGGAAGCCUGCCAUGAUGACUGCAGUCCUUAGUAAUUUCUCCCUCUUAGUAACUUACAGCAUUUCUUCUGUCUUCCCUUCACUUGACACACAAUCACACACACUCUACAAGUACUGUUUCUGUAUUCUUAUUUUAUCUAACUUGUGAUGCUUUUCCCUCAACCAGAUUUAUGGAGGGCGCCCCCUAUUGUGCUUCUCUAUAAACACCAUGGUGACUUGACAGUGCCAUGCCUCUUGUUGAACACCUGGAGCUACCGACAUUGGAAAACUCCAACAAAUGCCCAAUGUCCUAGUAUGCCCAGAAAAGGGCCUGUCUAGGAAGCUGAGAGUCAGUCAAAUUCGGGACCAAGAACUUCACUUCAACAAAGAUAAGAGUCAUUAACACAUCCACUUCCAUGGAAAUUGCUCACGGCGGAUGAUCUGUGAUUAAAAAAAAAAAAAUUAAAAAAAAA
rnacentral:lncRNA from 1 species